UUAAGUUCAGCGGGUAGUCCUACCUGAUUUGAGAUCAGAAUAUUAAGUGUAUUUUCCGGAGAAAAUGGUUUAGAAGCAGAGUGUAGCUUUGCCUUGCAAUCUUCCAUGACUAAUGACAAUUAUCACGCCAGGGAGCAUUCAAAGACUCGCAACUCCAAGCUAAUGCAUUUCGGACGAGCUGAUUAUUAAAAACCAGCAGC
rnacentral:misc_RNA from 1 species